rnacentral:rRNA from 1 species
UACGUAGGGGGCUAGCGUUGUCCGGAAUCAUUGGGCGUAAAGAGCGUGUAGGCGGCCCGGUAAGUCCGCUGUGAAAGUCGGGGGCUCAACCCUCGAAAGCCGGUGGAUACUGUCGGGCUAGAGUGCGGAAGAGGCGAGUGGAAUUCCUGGUGUAGCGGUGAAAUGCGCAGAUAUCAGGAGGAACACCCAUGGCGAAGGCAGCAAACUGGUCAUCAACUGACGCUGAGGCGCGAAAGCGUGGGUAGCAAACAGG